AGCAGCCGCGGUAAUUCCAGCUCCAAUAGCGUAUAUUAAAGUUGUUGCAGUUAAAAAGCUCGUAGUUGAAUUUCGGAAUCAAUAUAUCGGUCGUGCCUUGGUACGUACUGGUAUCAUUGGUUUCUCCUUUCUGACGAACCAUGAUGUCAUUAAUUUGGUGUUAUGGGAAGUUAGGACUGUUACUUUGAAAAAUUAGAGUGUUUAAAGCAGGCUUUAGCUUGAAUACAUUAGCAUGGAAUAAUGAAAUAGGACGUUCGAACCUAUUUUGUUGGUUUCUAGGAUCAACGUAAUGAUUAAUAGGGAUAGUUGGGGGCAUUAGUAUUCAAUUGUCAGAGGUGAAAUUCUUGGAUUUAUUGAAGACUAACUACUGCGAAAGCAUUUGCCAAGGAUGUUUUCAUUAAUCAAGAACGAAAGUUAGGGGAUCGAAGACGAUCAGAUACCGUCGUAGUCUUAACCAUAAACUAUGCCGACUAGGGAUCGGAUGAUGUAAUUUUUAAUGUACUCA
rnacentral:rRNA from 1 species